GUGGUAUUUCUGGAUCCUUACCAAGGCAAUAAUGGUGUAUGCCUUCUCUCAAAGUAUGUGGUAUUUUUGGUAUGAGGCAUAGUGGCAUUGCCUUCUCUCUCACCCUACUCUAAUAAGGUUUUGAUAUCUGGAGCUCAUAGGUGGGAGACAGCUAAUACAUACUUACAAGACAUUUAUUGCAUAGUCAAACCAUGGAUCCAGAAGAACAAGUCAAUAAGUCAAAUCAAGAUGUGCAUGUGUGGCGAAUGAAUGGUGUAUGGUGAUGAUGGUGAUAACAAUGGUGAAAGUCUAAUUCUACUUGUGCACUUUUGAGGGGAUACAUACCUUUCUUGCUCUUUUGAAACUUUUUGAGGAGAAUGAGAUGCUCUAUAUUUUCUUUUUCUUUUCUCUCAGGUGGGUAUCUUGUACCCCUAAUUCUACUGUCGGACAG
rnacentral:lncRNA from 1 species